GCAUCGAUGAAGAACGUAGCGAAAUGCGAUACGUGGUGUGAAUUGCAGAAUCCCGCGAACCAUCGAAUCUUUGAACGCAAGUUGCGCCCGAGGCCGCCGGGCCGAGGGCACGCCUGCCUGGGCGUCACGC
rnacentral:rRNA from 1 species